rnacentral:rRNA from 1 species
UCGGUGGACGGGUGAGUAACACGUGGGUAACCUGCCUGUAAGACUGGGAUAACUCCGGGAAACCGGGGCUAAUACCGGAUGGUUGUUUGAACCGCAUGGUUCAAACAUAAAAGGUGGCUUCGGCUACCACUUACAGAUGGACCCGCGGCGCAUUAGCUAGUUGGUGAGGUAACGGCUCACCAAGGCAACGAUGCGUAGCCGACCUGAGAGGGUGAUCGGCCACACUGGGACUGAGACACGGCCCAGACUCCUACGGGAGGCAGCAGUAGGGAAUCUUCCGCAAUGGACGAAAGUCUGACGGAGCAACGCCGCGUGAGUGAUGAAGGUUUUCGGAUCGUAAAGCUCUGUUGUUAGGGAAGAACAAGUACCGUUCGAAUAGGGCGGUACCUUGACGGUACCUAACCAGAAAGCCACGGCUAACUACGUGCCAGCAGCCGCGGUAAUACGUAGGUGGCAAGCGUUGUCCGGAAUUAUUGGGCGUAAAGGGCUCGCAGGCGGUUUCUUAAGUCUGAUGUGAAAGCCCCCGGCUCAACCGGGGAGGGUCAUUGGAAACUGGGGAACUUGAGUGCAGAAGAGGAGAGUGGAAUUCCACGUGUAGCGGUGAAAUGCGUAGAGAUGUGGAGGAACACCAGUGGCGAAGGCGACUCUCUGGUCUGUAACUGACGCUGAGGAGCGAAAGCGUGGGGAGCGAACAGGAUUAGAUACCCUGGUAGUCCACGCCGUAAACGAUGAGUGCUAAGUGUUAGGGGGUUUCCGCCCCUUAGUGCUGCAGCUAACGCAUUAAGCACUCCGCCUGGGGAGUACGGUCGCAAGACUGAAACUCAAGGAAUUGAC